rnacentral:ncRNA from 1 species
AGGCUAACUCCUAAAUUUUAGAAUACCACAUCUACAUCCACCUAGAAAUCGUUUGGCACCUCGAUGUCGACUCAUCACAUCAUGGGGUUGAAGAAGGCCCUAAUGAUUUGGUUGUUCACCGCCAAGUCAAGUGAUACAUAAGUUAAGUUUAGACUAUUGUGAGAUAGUUU